UACGAAGGGGGCUAGCGUUGCUCGGAAUGACUGGGCGUAAAGGGCGCGUAGGCGGUUUGUACAGUCAGAUGUGAAAUUCCCGGGCUCAACCUGGGGGCUGCAUUUGAUACGUAUGGACUUGAGUGGGGAAGAGGGUCGCGGAAUUCCCGGUGUAGAGGUGAAAUUCGUAGAUAUCAGGAGGAACACCGGUGGCGAAGGCGGGUUCUCUGGGCCUUACCUGACGCUGAGGAGCGAAAGCCGUGGGGGAGCAAACAGG
rnacentral:rRNA from 1 species